rnacentral:lncRNA from 1 species
ACAGUUUAACAUUUUCUUUAGUGGUGCAACCUUGUUCUGAGAUUACAGGGAAUGCUGAGUUUUAUUAGGGUUCUUUCAACAAACUCAUUUAAUUGUUGCUGCCCCUUAGCUAGUGCUGAGUCACUCUCAAACUUCACAGCAUUCCACGACAGCUCAUCCUUCUUGACUUUCCUUUUUUUUUCCCUUUUCCUUUUUCCUUUUUUAAGUUCUCUUAAUAUUUUUUAUUCCCAACAGACUUGUCUUUGGACAAAAUUGAGAAGAACUCAUAAACUUGGCUUCCUCGCUUCUGCUCCUCAGACGCGCGUGGAUGAUUUGAAGAUAUUAGCCUAACAAGAUGGAAGCAGGUUUAAAAUUUUACAUAAGAAGUUACCUUUUUCAGCUGGUCCUAUAGUACCCCUCCUCAGGAAUGUCUCCCCAGUGCAAGGACAAAGACUGAAGAGACUGCUAUAUUGAUGGACUCUCAAGCCAACUAUGAAGUUGAAACAAAGAAAGUGAUCACCUGAAGACACCUCCUCUGCUAAGAAACACCCCCAAAUUGUGCAGCUUCUGCCACUAGAACUCUCAGAACAAGAGACAAUCUUUUCAAGAAACAGAAAAACUCAAUAAUGACAUCUAGAUUUUCAUGAGCCAAGAACUUUCCCUUCCUCAUGUGUAUUCCUCUGUUUGUACUUAAAUUCAUGUGACAUUCAUUUUUUUCCUAGUAUGGAUAUGCUUAUUAAUGCACUUGUUUCAAAAUCCCAAAUUGCACAAAUGUGUUAAUAUUUUAAGAAACAAAAUGAAUCCUACAAGGAGAAUGAUUUUUAGCCACACAUAGGGUUGGAUCUUGAGAGUGACCUACAGAAUAAAAGUACUUUUAAAAUAAAGUAGUCAGAGGCUAUUCAAAGGGUAAAAUAAUCAUAGUACCACAUUGGUCCACUUGACACUAACCAAUCGAUCAUUUUUUUUUAAUCAAGAAAGCUAGAUUCUAUCAGAUAAAAUCACU